GAUGAGCGCUGGCGGUAUGCCUAACACAUGCAAGUCGUACGCCUCACUUCGGUGAGGAGUGGCGGACGGGUGAGUAACACGUUAGUACCUGCCCCAAAGUGGGGAAUAACUGCCCGAAAGGGUAGCUAAUACCCCAUAGUCUCCGGUUUAUCCGGAGUAAAGAUUUAUCGCUUUGGGAGGGGCUUGCGUUUGAUUAGCUAGUUGGUGAGGGUAAUGGCCCACCAAGGCGACGAUCAAUAGCUGGAUCGAGAGGUUGACCAGCCACACUGGGACUGAGAUACGGCCCAGACUCCUACGGGAGGCAGCAGUGAGGAAUCUUCCACAAUGGGCGAAAAGCCUGAUGGAGCAAUACCGCGUGCAGGAUGAAGCUUUUCGGAGUGUAAACUAGCUUUUCUUGAAGGAAGGAAUUAUGACGGUACUUCUAGGAAUAAAGGAAGUACGGCGUAAACUAACGUACGUCCACGACGAGCCGCCGGUAAAAGGUAAGGUAGUGUACUAGUAGACGGGCGGUCGGCGGAACGGACGGCCGA
rnacentral:rRNA from 1 species